rnacentral:lncRNA from 12 species
CCGGGGCUGAGCGCUGAGGGACGCGGGGCCCUUGCGGACCGGGCUCUAUUUUGAGCCAUCUUAUCUACGUGCCCUUCUGUUUCAUCUCGCUGUAGCCGUGAGGAAGGGACUGUCAGUAACUCCAGGAAGCUGCGGGGCGUCUCCCGGUCAGGCUUCCCGGGGAGGUGGUCAAGAGAAGAGGAUGGUGUGGCGGAUGAUGCCGAAGACCUCAGAAAAGGAUUCAGAAGAUGACAAUGGAUUGCAAUUGGCGCUAAAUAUAGUGCUGCUGCGAGACAUUCAAAUGCCCUUCUGGGAUGCAUAACAGGAUCACCUUGAAAAUGAAGGAGCCAAGAACAAGUUGUACAAAUGACAAAGGUGGCAGCAGGAUCUGCAAGAAGAGG